rnacentral:lncRNA from 1 species
GAAGCGUUUAGGGGGUGUCUGAUGUGUUGUCAUUACAGGCCAGGAAAUAACACCCUGGCAGCUUCAUACGUGUUCACGUCUCCAGACGUUUCCUGGGGAAAAACGACUUUAUCGGAAGUUUUUACGUAAACCUCUCGGCGUCGAGGAAAUUUGCACACACGCGAAAACAGAACAAUGACGGAUGGUGGCAUACGUCCUUUUAUUUUAUUUAUUUUAAUGUGUAUUUACUUUUUUUAACGUUUAUUUAUUUUUGAGACAGAGAGAGACAGAGCAUGAACGGGGGAGGGGCAGAGAGAGAGAGGGAGACACAGAAUCGGAAACAGGCUCCAGGCUCCGAGCCAUCAGCCCAGAGCCCGACGCGGGGCUCGAACCCACGGACCGCGAGAUCGUGACCUGGCUGAAGUCGGACGCUUAACCCACUGAGCCACCCAGGCGCCCCCCUCUUUCUUUAAGAAAACACGACUUCGCUGAUGUUGUUCGACCACAGACGGAAAUCUGCCCACUGCAGAAAAUUCAGAAGAUCCCCGCGAGCUAAAGAGGAGGAAGGGAACUCGGCUGUCAUCUGCCCCCGGAGCGCCAACGUCUAGGAAAACGGAGUCCCAGAGAGGGGAAGAGAUCCACCCAAAGCGGGGGGAAGAAAGAGAGGGCCGCCAGGCAGGAGACACAGCUCACGCAGAGGCUCGACGGCGGGCCCAGAAGAAGGUGCACGCAUCCAGUCAGAGCCCCGUCCUCCGGGAGAUGACCCCGUGCCAAGCCCGGGACCGAAUGCUGCCACACGUGGCCCUGAUGAUGGACAAAGGGCCCAGGAUGUCAGUUUGACAGAUGAGGGGACCGAGGCUGGGUGUAGGGAAGUGACUUCCCCCCCAAGCAGCGCACCUGAGGCUCACGUGCCACUGGCCGAGGGUGCAAAAGGCUUCCGCGAACGUUCUCAGAAGAGAAAUUUCCUCAAAGUCAGCAGCCCGAGGGAGGGGUGAGCGGGAGAGCCGAGGCCGGGGGCGGGGGUUCCAGGCCCCCGUCUCAGUCCCCAGCCCGCUGGAGGAGCAGACAGGGCUUCCUUUUGCUGCCACGUUUUGGGGCUGAGGUCAGGAAAGCCUGGUCUACGCUGGUCACGGGCUUACCCACCUGUCUCUGCUCGCAGUUUCUCUUUUCCUGGACGAAUCUUCCCGACUACGGCAACAGUAGAUGUGUAUUCAAUGCACUGGGACUUCCCUUAAGUAUUUAAUUAUUCAACAAAUAUUAGCUGCGUGUCACACGCUGUCGUAGGUGCUGGGAGGAAACGGUAAACAGAACAGAAUGAAAAUCUCCGCUUUCAAGAGCUGACGUCGUACGCUCAAAAGUAAACACGUAAAACAGACAGCGGGUCAGAGGCGGUGAGGGCUCAGGGAAAGAAAUCAAGCAGCAAAGGCGGAUGAGAUUUGUGGGGAAGGGCUCAGCGCUGAGAUUUCAAACAGAGUAAAUCUUAAAUAGGGUGGUCGGGGGAGGCCCCAGGGAGAAGGUGGAGUGUGA